CUGAUUGAAUUUUAACUGCUGAUUAACAAGGAAGCCAAAUGAUCUAGAGAAGUAAACUUCAAAUUGAAUCCAGAUCUAUGCAAAGAACGAAGUGAACCCUGUGACUCAUUUUUCGAUUCGAUUAAUGUGUGAGUGUACGAACAGUAUUUUUAUAUCCAGUGGCAUUAAACAAUGAACGCAUACAUUCAUUUAUAUAUAUCGGAGAAAUACACAUUAAUUCAUGCUUGAUUGCAACAUCGAACAUAUGUAGAUAUCUUCCUGUGCUGGGAAAAGCCUACGUCGCAGCACUUAUAACUUCAAUACAGUUCUAAUCAUCAAGGCGUUACCAAGGAGUUGUGAUAAGAUUUAAAAUAAUUUGAAUCUACUGGAUUACCUUUGGUUUAAAAUCUUGAGUGGUCCCUUAUACAUACGUAUAAAGAUGGAGAAUUGCGAACUCCUUCGUGACGGAAUAAUUGGGUGGAUGCUGGUCAUAUGUUGGACAUUAAACUUGUUAAUCGUGUCCUUAUUUGUCUUUCCGACAUUAAUUGCGACAACCUGGAUGAAUGGGAAGGUCAGGAAUCCGGCCGGCUUAAUAUUUGGCAACCUGGCAUUUCCCUUCCGUAAAUUGUGCACUUACCAUUGGGGAAAAAAUGUGAGACGCAACAUGGUUACUAGUAAUUUAGUAAUUGAUCAACAAUAGUAAAUAUAUAUUGGCAAAUUAAGACGACUAAAAUAUGUACAUUGUCAUCGAUCAUGUACAUAAAUAUUUAGAUUUACAUACGUACAUACUUGUUAAUUUUCCGAGAUUUGAGGCUAAUAAAAGUCAAAUUAGUUAGCAU